GACAGCACUUCCAAGCUAAUGAGAGAAAAUACAGCGUAAACAAUUUCAUGGCAAUUAAUAACAGCGUAAGUUUUAGUUAAAGAGACAGGCUAAACGUUGUCACUACAACCUUGAGAACAAUGCGGGCGUAAUGUGCUGUAGUAGAGAAAGGGAUUGUUCCCAUGGUAAGGAAAAUUCCCCUGGGUGUGAGCGUCAGAUCAGGAAAAGCCAGACAGUAAUU